rnacentral:rRNA from 1 species
GAUGAACGCUGGCGGCGUGCCUAAUACAUGCCAGUCGAGCGAACGGACGAGAAGCUUGCUUCUCUGAUGUUAGCGGCGGACGGGUGAGUAACAAGUAGAUAACCUACCUAUAAGACUGGGAUAACUUCGGGAAACCGUAGCUAAUACCGGAUAAUAUUUUGAACCGCAUGGUUCAAAAGUGAAAGACGGUCUUGCUGUCACUUAUAGAUGGAUCCGCGCUGCAUUAGCUAGUUGGUAAGGUAACGGCUUACCAAGGCAACGAUGCAUAGCCGACCUGAGAGGGUGAUCGGCCACACUGGAACUGAGACACGGUCCAGACUCCUACGGGAGGCAGCAGUAGGGAAUCUUCCGCAAUGGGCGAAAGCCUGACGGAGCAACGCCGCGUGAGUGAUGAAGGUCUUCGGAUCGUAAAACUCUGUUAUUAGGGAAGAACAUAUGUGUAAGUAACUGUGCACAUCUUGACGGUACCUAAUCAGAAAGCCACGGCUAACUACGUG